AGGGUUUGAUUAUGGCUCAGGAUGAACGCUGGCGGCGUGCUUAACACAUGCAAGUCGAGCGAAGUGAUUUAAAUGAGACUUCGGUGGAUUUUAAAUUGACUGAGCGGCGGACGGGUGAGUAACGCGUGGAUAACCUGCCUCAUACAGGGGGAUAGCAGUUGGAAACGACUGGUAAAACCGCAUAAGCGCACGGUGUCGCAUGGCACAGUGUGAAAACACUCCGGUGGUAUGAGAUGGACCCGCGUCUGAUUAGCUAGUUGGUGAGGUAACGGCCCACCAAGGCGACGAUCAGUAGCCGGCCUGAGAGGGUGAACGGCCACAUUGGGACUGAGACACGGCCCAA
rnacentral:rRNA from 1 species